GAUGAAGAACGCAGCGAAACGCGAUAUGUAAUGUGAAUUGCAGAAUUCAGUGAAUCAUCGAAUCUUUGAACGCACAUGGCGCCUUCCAGUAUCCUGGGAGGCAUGCCUGUCCGAGCGUCGUUUCAACCCUGAGCCCCCGUGGCCCGGCGUUGGGGAUCUGCCCAGGCAGUCCCCGAAAACCAGUGGCGGACCCGUUACAGGCCCUUCCCUUGCGUAGUAGCAUUCGCCUCGCAUCGGGAGCCGGCGGGCUUCCAGCCUCUAAACCCCCAUCAAGUCCGCCCCGGCGGCACCAAGGUUGACCUCGGAUCAGGUAGGAAUACCCGCUGAACUUAAGCAUAUCAAUAAGCGGAGGA
rnacentral:misc_RNA from 1 species